CUGCAUUGGAAGGCAAAAUCUUAACCACUGGACCACCAGAUAAGAUAACAGGAUAACCUGAGCACAGUUAACCAGCUAGGGAAUGAUAUGCAAGGAUUUGUACCCUGACAUCUGAGACCAGCUGAGCACUAUGAAAGUCACUCAGUCGUGUCUGACUCUUGCAAAUCCAUGGACUAUAGCCCACCAGGAUCCUCCAUCCAUGGGAUUCUCCAGGAUUUCUACUCUGGAGGCACUAUUUCUAGUCUGAAAGCUCCACAAGUCAAAGGGCAGAAAGGAAUCUUUCCUGUAAACAUCCGCUAGGCCACUCCCGGAAAAGAAUUCCAUGGACAGAGGAGCCUGGAGGACCAAAGUCCAUGGGGGUCACAAACAGUCAGAGACAACCGAGGGACUAGCACUUUCACUUAUUUCCCAGUAAUCACCACUACACUCCUCAGAGAGGGAGGCUCCAAGCUGGCCGUCCCCAC
ensembl:lncRNA